rnacentral:rRNA from 1 species
CCUACGGGGGUCUGCAGUCGAGAAUCAUUCACAAUGGGGGAAACCCUGAUGGUGCGACGCCGCGUGGGGGAAUGAAGGUCUUCGGAUUGUAAACCCCUGUCAUGUGGGAGCAAAUUAAAAAGAUAGUACCACAAGAGGAAGAGACGGCUAACUCUGUGCCAGCAGCCGCGGUAAUACAGAGGUCUCAAGCGUUGUUCGGAAUCACUGGGCGUAAAGCGUGCGUAGGCUGUUUCGUAAGUCGUGUGUGAAAGGUGCGGGCUCAACCCGCGGACGGCACAUGAUACUGCGAGACUAGAGUAAUGGAGGGGGAACCGGAAUUCUCGGUGUAGCAGUGAAAUGCGUAGAUAUCGAGAGGAACACUCGUGGCGAAGGCGGGUUCCUGGACAUUAACUGACGCUGAGGCACGAAGGCCAGGGGAGCGAAAGGGAUUAGAUACCCGGGUAGUC